rnacentral:rRNA from 1 species
GUGGGGAAUCUUCCACAAUGGACGAAAGUCUGAUGGAGCAACGCCGCGUGAGUGAAGAAGGGUUUCGGCUCGUAAAGCUCUGUUGUCGGGGACGAAUGUGCAGUAUUUGAAUAAAGUACUGCAAUGACGGUACCUGACGAGGAAGCCACGGCUAACUACGUGCCAGCAGCCGCGGUAAUACGUAGGUGGCAAGCGUUGUCCGGAAUUAUUGGGCGUAAAGGGAGCGCAGGCGGGAAGGUAAGUCGGUCUUAAAAGUGCGGGGCUCAACCCCGUGAUGGGAUCGAAACUAUCUUUCUUGAGUGCAGGAGAGGAAAGUGGAAUUCCUAGUGUAGCGGUGAAAUGCGUAGAUAUUGGGAGGAACACCAGUGGCGAAGGCGCCUUUCUGGACUGUGUCUGACGCUGAGAUGCGAAAGCCAGGGUAGCGAACGGGAUUAGAAACCCGGGUAGUCC